rnacentral:rRNA from 1 species
AGAACGAACGCUGGCGGCAGGCCUAACACAUGCAAGUCGAGCGCGCAGCAAUGCGAGCGGCAGACGGGUGAGUAACGCGUGGGAACCUUCCCAAUAGUACGGAAUAGCCCAGGGAAACUUGGAGUAAUACCGUAUACGCCCGCAAGGGGAAAGAUUUAUCGCUAUUGGAUGGGCCCGCGUAGGAUUAGCUAGUUGGUGAGGUAAUGGCUCACCAAGGCGACGAUCCUUAGCUGGUUUGAGAGAAUGACCAGCCACACUGGGACUGAGACACGGCCCAGACUCCUACGGGAGGCAGCAGUGGGGAAUCUUGGACAAUGGGCGCAAGCCUGAUCCAGCCAUGCCGCGUGAGUGACGAAGGUCUUCGGAUUGUAAAGCUCUUUUGCCAGGGACGAUAAUGACGGUACCUGGAGAAUAAGCCCCGGCUAACUUCGUGCCAGCAGCCGC